rnacentral:rRNA from 1 species
GCGCAGCCUGAUCCAGCCAUACCGCGUGGUGUGAAGAAGGCCUUCGGGUUGUAAAGCCCUUUUGUUGGGAAAGAAAAGCAGUCGGCUAAUACCCGGUUGUUCUGACGGUACCCAAAGAAUAAGCACCGGCUAACUUCGUGCCAGCAGCCGCGGUAAUACGAAGGGUGCAAGCGUUACUCGGAAUUACUGGGCGUAAAGCGUGCGUAGGUGGUUGUUUAAGUCUGUUGUGAAAGCCCUGGGCUCAACCUGGGAAUUGCAGUGGAUACUGGGCGACUAGAGUGUGGUAGAGGGUAGUGGAAUUCCCGGUGUAGCAAUGAAAUGCGUAAAGAUCGGGAGGAACAUCCAUGGCGAAGGCAGCUACCUGGACCAACACUGACACUGAGGCACGAAAGCGUGGGGAGCAAACAGGAUUAGAUACCCUGGUAGUCCACGCCCUAAACGAUGCGAACUGGAUGUUGGGUGCAAUUUGGCACGCAGUAUCGAAGCUAACGCGUUAAGUUCGCCGCCUGGGGAGUACGGUCGCAAGACUGAAACUCAAAGGAAUUGACGGGGGCCCGCACAAGCGGUGGAGUAUGUGGUUUAAUUCGAUGCAACGCGAAGAACCUUACCUGGUCUUGACAUGUCGAGAACUUUCC